rnacentral:rRNA from 1 species
CGUGUAGGCGGCCAGAUAGGUCUGUUGUGAAAACUCGAGGCUCAACCUCGAGACGCCGAUGGAAACCAUUUGGCUAGAGUCCGGAAGAGGAGAGUGGAAUUCCUGGUGUAGCGGUGAAAUGCGCAGAUAUCAGGAAGAACACCCGUGGCUAAGGCGGCUCUCUAGUACGGUACUGACGCUGAAGACGCGAAAGCGUGGGGAGCGAACA